rnacentral:rRNA from 2 species
GGAACUCCAUGUGUAGCGGUGAAAUGCGUAGAUAUAUGGAAGAACACCAGUGGCGAAGGCGGCUGUCUGGUCUGUAACUGACGCUGAGGCUCGAAAGUAUGGGUAGCAAACAGGAUUAGAUACCCUGGUAGUCCAUACCGUAAACGAUGAAUGCUAAGUGUUGGAGGGUUUCCGCCCUUCAGUGCUGCAGCUAACGCAUUAAGCAUUCCGCCUGGGGAGUACGGCCGCAAGGCUGAAACUCAAAGGAAUUGACGGGGGCCCGCACAAGCGGUGGAGCAUGUGGUUUAAUUCGAAGCUACGCGAAGAACCUUACCAGGUCUUGACAUACUAUGCAAAUCUAAGAGAUUAGACGUUCCCUUCGGGGACAUGGAUACAGGUGGUGCAUGGUUGUCGUCAGCUCGUGUCGUGAGAUGUUGGGUUAAGUCCCGCAACGAGCGCAACCCUUAUUAUCAGUUGCCAGCAUUAAGUUGGGCACUCUGGUGAGACUGCCGGUGACAACCGGAGGAGGUGGGGAUGACGUCAAUCAUCAUGCCCCUUAUGACCUGGGCUACACACGUGCUACAAUGGAUGGUACAACGAGUUGCGA